CAGAAAACAACCAGAAGUAGGAAGCAGAAGACACAGGGAGGCAGAGACAGCACGGGGCAGCCAAGCUGAGCUCUUGCUGACUCUCAGCAGCAAUGCUAUUUUGGGGAGUGCAUCGGUAGGGGGUGUGCCGGAGACAGAAGCUAGUGCCUUCCUCUAAGCAAGGACUAUACCACCGAACAUCACAGUGAGCCACACUGACCCCCCUUCAAUGGUUUUCUGAGACAAUCUUGGAAGGCAAACAGAGGUAAUAUCACAUGCCUGGAUGGAUGCGGAGAACGUCUGAAGGCUGCCCUACGGAGUUGGAAAUGCUAAGGAUGGAGUUUAUCUUCAACUCCAGGGUGGGAAUCGCAGUGAAGGCCCCUGAAGUCCUGAC
rnacentral:lncRNA from 1 species